rnacentral:rRNA from 1 species
GAACUAAAGAGUUUGAUCCUGGCUCAGAUUGAACGCUGGCGGCAUGCUUUACACAUGCAAGUCGAACGGCAGCACGGGCUUCGGCCUGGUGGCGAGUGGCGAACGGGUGAGUAAUACAUCGGAACAUACCUGGUAGUGGGGGAUAGCUCGGCGAAAGCCGGAUUAAUACCGCAUAAGAUCUGAGGAUGAAAGCAGGGGACCUUCGGGCCUUGCGCUACUGGAGUGGCCGAUGGCAGAUUAGGUAGUUGGUGGGGUAAAGGCCCACCAAGCCUGCGAUCUGUAGCUGGUCUGAGAGGACGACCAGCCACACUGGGACUGAGACACGGCCCAGACUCCUACGGGAGGCAGCAGUGGGGAAUUUUGGACAAUGGGCGCAAGCCUGAUCCAGCAAUGCCGCGUGCAGGAUGAAGGCCUUCGGGUUGUAAACUGCUUUUGUACGGGACGAAAAGUCUCUGGUUAAUACCCGGGGAUGAUGACGGUACCGUAAGAAUAAGCACCGGCUAACUACGUGCCAGCAGCCGCGGUAAUACGUAGGGUGCGAGCGUUAAUCGGAAUUACUGGGCGUAAAGCGUGCGCAGGCGGCGAUGCAAGACCGAUGUGAAAUCCCCGGGCUCAACCUGGGAACUGCAUUAGUGACUGCAUUGCUGGAGUGCGGCAGAGGGGGAUGGAAUUCCGCGUGUAGCAGUGAAAUGCGUAGAUAUGCGGAGGAACACCGAUGGCGAAGGCAAUCCCCUGGGCCUGCACUGACGCUCAUGCACGAAAGCGUGGGGAGCAAACAGGAUUAGAUACCCUGGUAGUCCACGCCCUAAACGAUGUCAACUGGUUGUUGGGGAUUAAUUUCUUCAGUAACGAAGCUAACGCGUGAAGUUGACCGCCUGGGGAGUACGGCCGCAAGGCUAAAACUCAAAGGAAUUGACGGGGACCCGCACAAGCGGUGGAUGAUGUGGUUUAAUUCGAUGCAACGCGAAAAACCUUACCCACCUUUGACAUGUACGGAAUCCUUUAGAGAUAGAGGAGUGCUCGAAAGAGAGCCGUAACACAGGUGCUGCAUGGCUGUCGUCAGCUCGUGUCGUGAGAUGUUGGGUUAAGUCCCGCAACGAGCGCAACCCUUGUCAUUAGUUGCCAUCAUUUAGUUGGGCACUCUAAUGAGACUGCCGGUGAUAAACCGGAGGAAGGUGGGGAUGACGUCAAGUCCUCAUGGCCCUUAUAGGUGGGGCUACACACGUCAUACAAUGGCCGGUACAAAGGGCAGCCAACCCGCGAGGGGGAGCUAAUCCCAUAAAGCCGGUCGUAGUCCGGAUCGCAGUCUGCAACUCGACUGCGUGAAGUCGGAAUCGCUAGUAAUCGUGGAUCAGCAUGUCACGGUGAAUACGUUCCCGGGUCUUGUACACACCGCCCGUCACACCAUGGGAGCGGGUUCUGCCAGAAGUAGGUAGCUUAACCGUAAGGAGGGCGCUUACCACGGCAGGGCUCGUGACUGGGGUGAAGUCGUAACAAGGUAGCCGUAUCGGAAGGUGCGGCUGGAUCACCUCCUUUCUG